GGCCCCAUCGUCUAGAGGCCUAGGACACGGGCUUUUCAAGCCUGCAACCGGGGUUCGAAUCCCCGUGGGGUCA
rnacentral:tRNA from 1 species